GAGGAAUAUUGGUCAAUGGACGAAAGUCUGAACCAGCCAAUUCGCGUGAAGGAUGAAGGUUCUAUGGAUUGUAAACUUCUUUUGUACAGGAGUAAAGGACGAUACGUGUAUUGUUUUGCAAGUACUGUACGAAUAAGCAUCGGCUAACUCCGUGCCAGCAGCAGCGGUAAUACGGAGGAUGCGAGCGUUAUCCGGAUUUAUUGGGUUUAAAGGGUGCGUAGGCGGGAUUUUAAGUCAGCGGUGAAAGUUUGAGGCUCAACCUUAAAAUUGCCGUUGAAACUGGUAUUCUUGAGUGUAUUUGAAGUAGGCGGAAUUUGUGGUGUAGCGGUGAAAUGCAUAGAUAUCACGAGGAACUCCAAUUGCGCAGGCAGCUUACUAAACUACAACUGACGCUGAUGCACGAAGGUGUGGGUAUCAAAC
rnacentral:rRNA from 1 species